rnacentral:rRNA from 1 species
GACGAACGCUGGCGGCGUGCUUAACACAUGCAAGUCGAACGGAAAGGCCCCUUUGGGGGUACUCGAGUGGCGAACGGGUGAGUAACACGUGAGUAACCUGCCCUUGACUUCGGGAUAACUUCAGGAAACUGGGGCUAAUACCGGAUAGGAAUCCUUGCUGCAUGGUGGGGGUUGGAAAGCUUCGGCGGUUUUGGAUGGACUCGCGGCUUAUCAGCUUGUUGGUGGGGUAGUGGCUUACCAAGGCUUUGACGGGUAGCCGGCCUGAGAGGGCGACCGGCCACAUUGGGACUGAUAUACGGCCCAGACUCCUACGGGAGGCAGCAGUGGGGAAUAUUGCACAAUGGGCGGAAGCCUGAUGCAGCAACGCCGCGUGCGGGAUGACGGCCUUCGGGUUGUAAACCGCUUUCAGCAGGGGCGAAGCUUGUGGUGACGGUACCUGCAGAAGAAGCACCGGCUAACUACGUG